rnacentral:rRNA from 1 species
CGGGUGAGUAAUGGAUAAGUAACCUGCCCUUAAGUGGGGGAUAACACUUCGAAAGAAGUGCUAAUACCGCAUGUGGUGCUCUUUCACAAGAAGGAUCACUAAAACCGCAAGGUGCUUGAGGAGGGGCUUGUCUCCGAUUAGCUAGUUGGUGGGGUAACGGCCUACCAAGGCGAUGAUCGGUAGCUGGUCUGAGAGGAUGGUCAGCCACACUGGGACUGAGACACGGCCCAGACUCCUACGGGAGGCAGCAGCAAGGAAUCUUGGGCAAUGGGCGAAAGCCUGACCCAGCGACGCCGCGUGAGGGAUGACGGCCUUCGGGUUGUAAACCUCUUUUCUCAGGGAAGAAUAAUGACGGUACCUGAGGAAUAAGUCUCGGCUAACUACGUGCCAGCAGCCGCGGUAAUACGUAGGAGGCGAGCGUUAUCCGGAUUUAUUGGGCGUAAAGUGGGCGUAGGUGGUCUUUCAAGUCGGAUGUGAAAUCUCCCGGCUCAACUGGGAGGGGUCAUCCGAUACUGUUGGACUUGAGUACAGCAGGGGAAAAUGGAAUUCCCGGUGUAGUGGUGAAAUGCGUAGAUAUCGGGAGGAACACCAGAGGCGAAGGCGAUUUUCCAGACUGAAACUGACACUGAGGCCCGAAAGCGUGGGGAGCGAACAGGAUUAGAUACCCUGGUAGUCCACGCCUUAAACUAUGGGUACUAGGUAUAGGG